CGAUAAUGUCCCAGGCAGACAAAGGGGCGAAGGUUAGAGGGGCCGCAGACAGAGAGAAAGAGCACGAUGGGCUUUGCAGGCUGACUGUGGGGGACCGGCUCUCUUGGACUCCACUGGGCGCCCCGGUCCCUUUAGAUCCGCCCUGCCCCCUGCUUGGCCAUGACCUCCUGUGGUUAUUAAGCCCCUGAAAUGUGAGCCUCCUCAUUCUGAUGUGCUGAAAGUAGACGCAGAAAAUAAAAACACAGGUACCCAGGUAACUUCGAAAUUCGGAUAAAUAAGAAAUAAACUUUGAGCAUGUCCCAUGCAAUGUUUAGGAUAUACUUAUGCUAAAAAGUUUUGUUUUCAUUGCUUAAAAUUCAAAGUUAGCUGGGCAGCCUGUAUGUCACCUGGCAAAAUCUAGCCAUUAAGUGUAAAUAUACACUAGAUUGCAAACAGUAAGAACAGAAAAAAAAAAAAAAAAAAAAACUGAAAAAGAAAAGGUAAAAUGGCUCAGUGCCUUUUGUGUGGAUUCCAGGUUGAAAGUCACAACAAUCCUUUGGACAUCCUGGGUUAAUGGAGAUGUAUCACGGACAUGAACUUGUUUAACGAGGCUGCUGGGAAACUGGCAGUUACACGCACAGCUCUCACUUGGCAUUGGUGGGACACUGGUGCCUACCACUCCUGCAGACCUGGGCCUUCCGGGAUGUUCCCGGGUUUAGCACCAAAAGCCCCACCGCGUUCCAGGAACUCCUCAGUCCUGAGCAAACCGGGAUGGCUGGUACGCUGGGGCAUUGCAGGGGGCGGGGCACCUCGCUUCUGAGCCGCCCUCUCCUGCUCUGGGCCCUGCAGCUCCAGCGUGCGGCUGGCGAGGUGACAGCCGGUUCGGCAGCUGAGCGUAGGGGGUGGGUGGGGGAGGUUCAGAGAGGCCAAUCUCGAGUCUGAAGUCACACGGCAUGGGUGGCAGAACUGGGGCACGAACCCAAGGCUGUGACUGCAGAGCCUGCUUGCAGGAGAAAGGCCCCCACGGAGGAACCGAGGAAGGAAGGAAGACCACUUCCUGUCUUAGACGCAAAGGCACGGACCUCUGGACUCUCCCAGAGGGCCGCCUGUCUCCACGGCUGCUCCCUCUACGACGUGUGUACAAGGCAAGGUGUUUCAGGGAAUCAGUACCAGUCCAGGAAGGAAGGCAUGGCGCUGUUACUCUCCCAUUGCGCAGGGGACAUGGGUUUGAUCCCUGGUCUGGGAAGAUCCCACAUGUCAUAGAGCAACUAAGCCUGUGUGCCACAACCACCGAAGCCCUUGUGCCUGGAGUCUGUGCUCUGCAGCAAGAGAAGCCCCAGCGAUGAGAAGCCCAAGCACUGCAGCUAGAGUUUCUCUGCAACUAGGGAAGACCCGUGUAGCCAAAAAAAAAAAAAAAACAACCAACGUGGGAAAGUCUUGGCAGGGGAAUGACUGUGUCUGCCGAAUACUCAGGGUGGACAGGGGUCCAGGCUAGGGUGUAAAAGACUUCCACUCUGGAGUCAGACCAACCAGGAUUCUGGCUCCAUUGCUUUUAGCUGUGUGAUUUUAG
ensembl:lncRNA